GGGCAGGAUAGGUAAUGUUAGCUAACCCGCAAGCGGGCCAGCCAUCAUUACACCACCUUAUUCGCAGCGGGGCUGCUCAACGGUGAUCCUGCUCUACGAGGUC
rfam:Sphingobium baderi LL03 contig021, whole genome shotgun sequence.